UCCUACGGGGGGCAGCAGUGGGGAAUAUUGCACAAUGGGGGGAACCCUGAUGCAGCGACGCCGCGUGAGUGAAGAAGUAUCUCGGUACGUAAAGCUCUAUCAGCAGGGAAGGAAAUGACGGUACCUGACUAAGAAGCCCCGACUAACUACGUGCCAGCAGCCGCGGUAAUACGUAGGGGGCAAGCGUUAUCCGGAUUUACUGGGUGUAAAGGGAGCGUAGACGGUGCAGCAAGUCUGAUGUGAAAGGUCGGGGCCCAACCCCGGGACUGCAUUGGAAACUGUUGAACUGGAGUACAGGAGAGGUA
rnacentral:rRNA from 1 species